rnacentral:misc_RNA from 1 species
CAGCAGGAAAGACGGAAGAAUCGUUCUGCUGUGGGUACACCAGACUAUUUGGCGCCUGAGAUACUUUUGGGAACAGGACAUGGCACAACUGCAGAUUGGUGGUCGGUGGGUGUCAUUCUAUUUGAGCUGAUUGUUGGUAUUCCGCCAUUUAAUGCAGAGCAUCCACAGACAAUAUUUGAUAAUAUUCUCAACCGUAAGAUACCAUGGCCGCGGGUGCCUGAAGAAAUGAGCCCUGAAGCGCUGGAUCUAAUUGAUAGAUUAUUAACAGAAGAUCCUCAUCAGAGACUUGGAGCUGGAGGAGCUUCUGAGGUGAAGCAGCAUGUAUUCUUUAAGAAUAUUAACUGGGACACGCUUGCCAGACAGAAGGCUGCAUUUGUUCCCAGUUCGGAGAGUGCACUUGAUACAAGUUACUUCACAAGUCGCUAUUCAUGGAAUACUUCAGAUGGCCAUGUGUAUCCAGCCAGUGAAUUUGAGUAUUCCAGUGAUGCUGACAGUUUAAGUGGCAGCAGUAGUUGCCCAAGCAAUCGCCAAGAUGAAGUGGGAGAUGAAUUUGGGGGUCUUGCAGAGUUUGAGUCUGGCUCAUCUUUCAAUUAUUCAUUUAGUAAUUUCUCAUUCAAGAAUCUCUCCCAGCUUGCAUCAAUCAACUAUGAUCUUCUCUCCAAGGGUUGGAAGGACGAUCCAUCUACGAAUCCUAAUUCAUGACCCCUGUAUCUCCUGUCAAGAGCCAGAAUUGUGUUUUUAUGACAUUGGAUGAAUUUGGGCUUUUGUAGGGUGCAUGAUUGCCAGUGUUGUUUGUAUACCCUGUACAUAAAUAGAAGAAAAUUUGAAAGAAUGGAACUACUUUGGGAUGUGUUCUUUGCCCGUUAUAGGUAAUGGAUCCACACUGUGGGGUUCCAAUUUUAUUGUCCAAGUUGUUUUUGUUUGAGCUGAGGAUGUUAAAGUUAAUGCUGCAGUGUCGGUUCACAGUCUUAACCUAUGGUGUUACUGGUUUUUGCUUUUAUAUCAACGAGAACACAUCCCGGCAUUAUGAGUUUUCAGUUUCAGUUCAGUGUAACAUGUUCAUCAAACUCUGUGAGCUUCAUUUCCAUCAUUAAAGUUGAGUUAGAUGAACAUGUUACACUGAACUGAAACUG